CGCGGUGGUGACGCGGAGCUGCGGGCGGGGAACGGACGGCGCCGACCUGAGGCUGGACGGCGUGCGGCUGUCGGUAGAGAUAACGUUGACCCAGCCGGGUUUGUGUCAGCCCGUUUAUCCCAGCUGAAAACGCUCGCUUAGAAAACCGAAACCUUCAUUAAGACGUCGUCGUCGGACGGCAAGUAGUAACGAUUGGAAAAAGAAAGCAUGCGUAUAAAAUUGUGCUGCUUCUUGGUUAUACGUUACUAUUAAAACCUCUCUGACAGUUUCUCUUUUAGGUGCUUGCCCUGCCAGGCUCCGUUGUGUAGGGGUUAAAGAGCAGUCGUUUCCCACCUCGCAACCUGUGGAUUCAGCUGUGUUGGGGCAGAAGAGACGGGACCAGCUGCUGGCCACAUUUCCUGCUUUAUUUUAAAAGGUAGUAUAAGAAAUGAGAAUAAAGAGGUAACAGGGCUUUUGCUGUCUUUGUUUAAACAAACGAAAAAAGGUUGAAUGCUGGGAUUCAUUAUCUGUCAUCCGAGAUGUUUUUUAGAAGACAGUAUCCUAUCAAGCAGUGUUUUCAGAAUUCCAUCUGUUCAGGAUGCACUGCCAGCACAAGAGAGACUUAAGACGUGCAUUACUGCGGUGGCAUUGGCAGGACUGUUCCGAGGUUCAGUCUUUAGCUGUGUGCUCUGCUGCAGGUGGUGGGUUAUGCCAGGACCUUCUCUAGAUGUGUGCUGACUGAUACACAGAAUGGAAAUUAGUGAGUUAGAUUGAGCCUAGGUUGAAUCUGCCUGGCUCAGGCUUCACAACCACGCUUCAGUUUGAAUUUUAGUGUGUGCAUGAGAAGGGAAACACAAAUGCAGCAAGUGUGGGAUGUUACAGUGGCAUUGCUACAGUCGCUUCAGUGCAGUUUAAGUUAAAUAAGCAUUGUUUCAUUUUGCAUCACUGCAACGCGGUAGGAGUCAGAGAUCUCUGUUAUGAAGCUGCACGUCACUCGAGCCAUGAAACCACCUGAGCUGUGUCUGAUGUUGUGGUACACACAGUGACAUAGACCUGUGCAAGAACAAGGUCAAGUCCCAGAAAGUAAGUGGCUGCAGGCAUAUCUAGUGCCUACUGAACCAUAUUUAAACCAAGUAGAGGGGAGGAGGUUAUUUGAAACUAACCAACUGUACCAUCUGUAUGGUGUACUAAUUUUUGAAGUGGAAGCCUUGAAAUGACUUAAACUUAAUACUUGAAAAUAUAUUGUAAAUGUUUCUUUGUAAUGACGUGCCAUCCAGAUGAGAAUACUGUAUCAUAAUAAAGUCAGACCUGUUGAUCUUGGGCUCAAA